GUUUUAACGAAAAGGAGAUUGUUACAAAUAGUACAACCAGGAAACUCUCAGUUGGCUGUCUUGGCAUCCCCUGGUAUUCCUUAACUGAACUCAUUCAACAUUUAGGAUAUACAGGCCACCACACAAAGAUGACAGCUAUGAAUUAGACAGACAGGGUCUUUGCUUUUCUGGAGUUUACAUUCUAGGUAGGGGUGUGUGUGUGUGUGUGUCUCUCUCUCUCUCUCUCUCUGUGUUGGGUACUGUAGGCGAAAUGUUAUAAACAUAUAACUAUAAAAAUUUCAGAUUCUGAAAGGAACUGUGGUGAAAAUAAAUAGAAACGCAGAGUGUCUCAGUCCGUUUUGGUUUUGUUUGGAUUUUUUCAGAGACAGGGUCUCACUACAUUGCCCAGGCCGGUCUUGAACUCCUGGGCUCAAGUGAUCCUCUCAGCUUGGCCUCCCAAAGGGCUGGGAUUAAAGGCAUGAGCCACCACACCUGGCCCACUUUGUUUUGUUAUAACAGAAUACCUGAGACUGGGUAAUUUAUAAUGAACAUAAAUUUAUUUGGCUCACAGUCCUGGAAGCUGGGAAGUCCAAGAUCAAGGAGCCGUAUCCGCUGGGAGCAUUCUUGUUGCAUAACACGGUAAAAGGCAUCACAGAGUAAGAGAGAGCAAGAGAGAGCAAGAGAUAAAAGGAGACCAAACUCAUCCUUUUAUCCAGAGCCCACUCCCACAGUAAAUAACCCACUCCUGCAAUAUCACCAUUAAUCCAUGUGUGAGGGCAGAGCUCUCAUGACCUAAUCACUUCUUAAAGGUCCCACCUCUCAACACUACUGCAUUGGGGAUUAAGUUUCCAACACAUGAACUUUGGAGAACACAUUCAAACAGUAGCACUGAGGUAGAAUAUAAUAGGAUUUAGGGGAGACCACUCUGAAAAUAAUAUAGGACCUAAGGGAGGUAACAUUUAAACUUAGAAAGACUUAAUGCUAAGAAAGAAUCAGAGCACAAAGAUCAUUUCACGCAGACAGAAUAGCACGCACAAAGGCCUCAAGGUAGUUUUGAGAUGUUCCUGUGCCGACCACAUUAAUCAGGUGGCGCACUGGUAUGAGAUGGGGGAGGUGGGCAGAGGCCAGAUCACGUAGUACCUGGGGCACUGGAAACCUGAUAAAGGACUUUUUGAACAGGAACGCGACACAAACCAAGUUACUUUUCUAAAAAUCUGCUCUGGCUUAUGAAGUCACUGGAGCACUCAGAGUGAUAAUGGUGGUUUACACUAGAAUGAUAGUAGCAGAGAAAAGAAGUAGAUGGAUUUGCCAUAUUCAUAGUCCUUCCUCAUCCUCAGGGGAUACAUUCCAAGUUCCUCAGUGGAUACCUCCUCUGACCAUGAGACGGUGGUGAAUGGCAA
rnacentral:lncRNA from 10 species